CCUACGGGAGGCAGCAGUGAGGAAUAUUGGUCAAUGGACGAGAGUCUGAACCAGCCAAGUAGCGUGUAGGAUGACUGCCCUAUGGGUUGUAAACUUCUUUUAUCUGGGAAUAAAAUGUUCCACGUGUGGGAUUUUGUAUGUACCAUAUGAAUAAGGAUCGGCUAACUCCUUGCCAGCAGCCGCGGUAAUACGGAGGAUCCGAGCGUUAUCCGGAUUUAUUGGGUUUAAAGGGAGCGUAGGUGGAUUGUUAAGUCAGUUGUGAAAGUUUGCGGCUCAACCGUAAAAUUGCAGUUGAAACUGGCAGUCUUGAGUGAAGUAGAGGUGGGCGGAAUGCGUGGUGUAGCGGUGAAAUGCUUAGAUAUCACGAAGAACGCCGAUUGCGAAGGCAGUUCACUGGACUGCAACUGACACUGAGGCUCGAAAGUGUGGGUAGCAAACAGGAUUAGAUACCCGUGUAGUC
rnacentral:rRNA from 1 species